rnacentral:rRNA from 1 species
UACGUAGGGAGCGAGCGUUGUCCGGAAUUACUGGGUGUAAAGGGAGCGUAGGCGGGAUUGCAAGUCAGAUGUGAAAACUAUGGGCUUAACCCAUAGACUGCAUUUGAAACUGUAGUUCUUGAGUGAAGUAGAGGUAAGCGGAAUUCCUAGUGUAGCGGUGAAAUGCGUAGAUAUUAGGAGGAACAUCGGUGGCGAAGGCGGCUUACUGGGCUUUUACUGACGCUGAGGCUCGAAAGCGUGGGGAGCAAACAGGAUUAGAUACCCUGGUAGUCCACGCUGUAAACGAUGAUUACUAGGUGUGGGGGGACUGACCCCUUCCGUGCCGCAGUUAACACAAUAAGUAAUCCACCUGGGGAGUACGACCGCAAGGUUGAA